AUUGAACGCUGGCGGCAUGCUUUACACAUGCAAGUCGGACGAGUGGCGAACGGGUGAGUAACAUAUCGGAACGUACCGAGUAAUGGGGGAUAACUAAUCGAAAGAUUAGCUAAUACCGCAUAUUAUUCGAGCGGCCGAUAUCUGAUUCGCUGGUUGGUGGGGUAAAGGCCUACCAAGGCGACGAUCAGUAGCGGGUCUGAGAGGCUGAUCGGCCACACGGGGACUGAGACACGGCACAGACUCAUAAGUGAGUCAGCAGUGGGGAAUUUUGGACAAUGUGCGCAAGCCGGAUCCAGCCAUGCCGCGUGUCUUAAGAAGGCCGUCGGGUUGUAAAGGACUUUUGUCAGGGAAGCGGUACCUAACGAAUAAGCACCGGCUAACUCCGUGCCAGCAGCCGCGGUAAUAC
rnacentral:rRNA from 1 species